rnacentral:lncRNA from 1 species
UAAAUUUAAAAAUCCUAAUAAGAAUACUGAAAAAGAAAUUUUGUUCUAGAAUUAGAUAAGCUAACUAUAAAGGUUAUGUGGAAAAUAAACUAGUAAUAAUAACCAGGAAAUCUCCAAAAUCUCCAGAACAGAAGUCUUAGAAGCCAAUGAAUACGUAACAAAACUUCAAUAAUUAAAACAAUAUGGUAUUGAGACAUAUGUAAAUAUACUAAAGAAGAGAAGAUAAAUUCCAGAAAUAGAUUCUACUUUAUAUGGGAAUUUAGUAUAUGAUAAAGGUGAUACUCAUUCUGUGGUGGUAAAGAUGAACUUUAAUAUACAAUAUUAGAACAACCAAAAAGCCUUCUCAAAAAUGACAUUGUUAGAUUUAUAUAUCAUAUCAUAUUCAAAUAAAUAUUCCUAAUGGGAUUUAGGAUUUAGAGGUAAAAAAAAAUUAUAACAUAGUUUAAUUUCUUUAUAUACAUAGCAUGGGAAAGACCUUUACAGCUAUGACUCAAAAAUGAGAAGUCAAAAGAAAAGAUUGGUAAGUUCAUAAACUUUGAAUUCAAAAACAUCAAGAGUGCAAAAUGGAAGAAAAUAUUUGCAAUUCAUGUCACAUAGAAACGUAGAAGAAAAGUAAACAUUUGAUGGAAAUAUAAACAAAGAACAUGAACAGACAGUUCGCUAAGAAAAAAACACAGAUGGUAAUUAAAUAUUUGAAAAUACUCAUAAUAAAAAGAAAGGAUUUUUAUUUUCUCACAAUGAUGGGAAGAAUCUUAUGAUAGGUAGCCCCAUAAUCUCCACCCCCGGUGUCAGGGCCUGUACAAUCCCCUCCCCUUGAGUGUGGCCAGGACCUGUGAUUUGCUUCUAAUCAAUAGAAUGUGACAACAGUGAUGUGGUAUUACCCCCGGACUAGAUUUUGUUGUUUGGCAAAUGUGCUGCAAUGAUACUUCCAUGAUUAGGUUACAUAGUAUAAGACUCCACCACUUAACAGACCAUAGAAAGGGACUGUCCUGCUAGCCUUGUGGAAGCCAGCUGCUGUGAUGUAAACUGUCUAUGGGGAGGCUCAUGUGGCCAGGAACUGCAGACAGCCUCUAAUUGCUGAGGGCCUCAGUCCUACAACCAUAAGGAACCGACUUUUGCCAACAAUCACAUGAAUUUAGAAGAGAACUCUUAACCUCAGAUGAGACCGCAGUCACAACCCACAUUUUGAUUGCAGCUCCUGAGACCCUAAGCAGAGGAUGCAGCUAAGUUGUGUUUGGGCUUCUGAACCACAGAAACUGUGACAUACUAAAUGUGUGCUGCUUUAAACUACUGAGUUUAUGAUUAUUUGUUAUUCAGCAAUAGAAAACUAUGACACUUGUCAAUCAUAUUGACAAAAAUACAAAACAUAUAACAUUGUGUUCCUGAGUAUGCCCAUGGGCUCCCUCAUAUGAAAUGGCUCAAUGCUUACAGAGGAAAAUCUGGCAAUGUCUAGCACAGUGACAGUAACAUUUGCCCUUUGGCCCAGCAAUCCCACUUUUGAAAAAUCUACCUAUGCUUUCAUACAUAUGAAAUAAUGCAUGUACAAAAUUUUUCAUUAAAGCAUUGUUUAUAAUAACAAAUAAUGAAAACAAUUCAGUGAUUCAACAAUUGACAAUUGGUUAAAUUAUCUAGGACUGUGUAUGCGAUGGAAUACUAUGUAACCAUAAAAAAGGAAUGGGAAAGAUCUUUAUGUAAUGAUACGGAAAAAUGUCUAGGAUAUAUUACUAAAUGGAAAAAAGUAAAGUUCAUAACAAUAUAUGUAGUGUACUGCCUUUGUAUAAUGAAAAUUUACGUAUUUGCAUAAAGAAACAAUGGAAGUUAAAAAAUUUUUUUAAAUGGUUACCUGUAGGGAAAAGAAAGAAAAAAAAUGGAUAGGAAUUAGACUUCUCCAUGGAUACCCCAUAUAAACGUCUUACCUACUAAAAAUUAAUGUUCUAAGUUGUUAAAUGGAUGGAUAUAAGAAAGCACUGUGUCAUAAUGAGCAUACUCAAGAUGUGGAGAUGACACAGAGAAGGAGGGGGUGAGAGAGGGAAGUCAGCUAACGCAUCUUCACAGGCAGGGACACUCAGCGGGACUCUGAAAGAUGAUCAUGAGUUACCAUGGGCCACGCGCAGUGGCUCACGCCUGUAAUCCCAGCACUUUGGGAGGCCAAGGUGAGCGAAUCAUGAGGUAAGGAGUUCCAGAACAGCCUGGCCAACAUGGUGAAACCCCAUCUCUACUAAAAAUACAAAAAUUAGUCGGGUGUGGUGGCACACGCCUAUAGUCCCAGCUAGUCAGGAGACUGAGGCAAAAGAAUCGCUUGAACCCAGAGGUUGCCGUGAGCUGAGAUUGUACCAUUGCACUCCAGCCUGGGCAACAGAGCAAGACUCCAUCUCAAAAACAAACAAAAAAAAGAGUUACCAUGGAUGAACAAUCCUAAAAAGGACAUCACAGAUCAUAAGAACUGCAAGUUCAAAAAUACAGUGGAGUAAAACAGAUAGUAUAUCCAGGGAAUAAGGGACUCCAGUCUUAUUAAAUGUUAUGGGGGUGCCAGAAAGCCAUGUAGUGAGAGAAGAAGCCAAAGACCAGGUCAAGGGGUCCUUGGAAGCUCCCCUAAGAGAUCUGGACUUUAUGCUGUGCAUAAUGUUUAUUUCUUAAAUGGAUCAUUCUAGAAGUGAUUUGGAGGAUAUAUCAGAGGGUAUCUGUAUUUAUGUCUUAUGGCUGUCAUAGCAAAUUCUCAUGAACUUGGUGGCUUAAAACAACAGAAAUCUAUUUUCUCCCAGUUCUGGAAGCCAAAGAUCUGAGACAAAGGUCUGAAAUCAAGGUGCCAGCAGGGCCGCAUAGGGAAGAAUCCAUCCUCUGUCUCUUCCAGCUUCUGGAAGUUGCCAGUUUUGGCUCAUGGCCACAUCAUGCCAAUCUCUGCCCUUAUCUCCAUCUCACCUUUUCUUUUAUGCAUGUCUUCUCCUCUUCGUUUCCUACAGGGACACUUCUCAUAGGAUUUAGGGCCCACUCAAGUAAUUCAGGAUGAUCUCAUCUCAGCAUUCUGAUCUUAAUUAUAUGUGCAAAAAAUCUUUUCCAAAUAAGGUCACAUUCACACCUUCCAAGGAUUAGAAUGUGGACAUAUCUUUUGUGUGUGUGCGCGGUGGGGAAGAGGUGGUCAUGGUCAAUGCUAAGACAAAAAGUCUAUUUGGAAGGUAGUUGCAAUUGACCAGGUAAGAGAUGUUCAUCAAGCAUUCAAUUUUUCUGAUUAACAACUUCCCAGGGCAGAAAUCCUACAAGCCACUCACAUUUUUCAGAAAUCCACCACACAUUUUCCUUAUAAUUUAAGUCCACCUUUCUUGCUUUGAUUUUUAUUCAAGCAAUUGAAUGUAUAUUUGCAGCAGCAUCCCCCCCCAUCUGUUGUAAGUCAUUUCUUAUAUUCAUAUCAUAACCACUGUGUGGCAUUUUAUGCUAUAAGAAUAAUUCUGGGCUUUCUAAUCUGAAAUGGCAGAAGUCCUCAGGGAGAUUCCCUCCCCGAAAAUGACACUUAUCUAGAGGCAGACAGAGUGUUCUACACAGGAUAUUUUCCAGCAAGAAAGCCCGAGGCACAUAGCAUUAAAUUUUCUGGUGAAGUCUGUGGCGCACCAGACCAAUCAUCAUAAAAUCCAGAUAUGAGAAUUUCUAGAGUAAGUGGUAGCAUAUCAAAAUCGGAUGCAGAAGACCAAGGAAGGGAUCAAAUCUUUAAACUUCACAUCAGAGUCAAGAGUGGUUUCAUAUGAAAGUGAAAGACAAGAAAAUCUAAUCACCCAACCCCUUUGCCUCCAAACUAGUCACUAUCUGGCUGUUUUUGGUUAGCAAUUAAGCAGCCAAGAGUUAUUAUCCAGAUCACGUUCUGCUUGCAUUUCUGAACCUAGCUAAACUGUAGUUAUUGACUUUUAAUCAAACUAACCAAUGCUGCUAGUGACCCCUUGCUUUGUAAUCAGUUGGAGUGGUCAUUUUCUAACAGUUAAAGCUCUGACUCUAAGCUAGUCCUGUCCAAAAGAACUUUCCACGAUGACAACAAUGCUGCACAUACAACAUUGUAUAAUCAUCUGCACUCUCCAAUAUGAUGUCCACUAGCCACAUGUGGCUACUGACCACUUGAACUGUGGCUGGUGUGAGGGAGAAACCAGUUUUUAAAUUAUUUAUGAUUUUCACUAAUUUAAAGAGCCAAAUGGAGUUCACGGCUACCAUAUUGGACAGCACAACUCUAAGAUGGGUCCUGGCCCAUCUUCCUAUUUGGACAGACUGAAGUUCCAUGUCGGUAUCACUUUAGUCUUGGUCUGUUGUCAUAUUUACUUCCUGCUCCUAAGGAAGAAUCUAGUAAGCCUACUGGGACUUAUAGCCAUCGAUUAUAUUUCAAAGGAAUAAGUUAGAAGUUUUUUUUUCUCUUUGAUAUUAGUUUGAGCUGUUAUGAAAUAAGACCUAUGAUACUGCCUAGAUAAUUUCAAAAAAAUGUUUCUAACUGUGGGAUGCCCUGCUAGCCACAGAUCUCUUAGCAGUUUUCUGGAUAGACUCACCCUUUUUUUCCCCCUGGUUUCUCUUUCUAGACAAAUUAACAAAGGCUUCUUAAGCUCCUGGAUUUAAUUUCUAUGAUGUGGCUGAAACAUGUACAUUUACAUACACUAUCAUUUAAGCCUGAAACUGCAAAAGUUUCUUAGAUUGUUUUCAAGUUCCUAACUACUAACUUCUGGAUGGAGUGAAGUUGAUUACUCACUGAAGGGGUGAAUACAAAGUAUUUAGGACUAGAUCCACUGUCUUUCAAGGAACUCCUACAGAUGUGUCUAGGAAGACGAAUCAUUGUUUCUGUGAGUGAUUUUAUCACGUCUAUACACUAAGCACUGAAAGAAAGCUGAAGCUUUCAGUAAGCAGACCAGGCUGUCACGAAAGCCUUCACUGUGUGAACCCAGAUUCUCCGUUCCCUAAAAUGGGAGAACAUUUCAACAACUCACCUGUCCCUUUAUUCACAGUGUAAAGAGAAAUACUCCGCUCCAUGAAGUGCUGAAGAAACAGAGAUGGUUGGUUCAAUAAGACUACAGGACGUGGAGAGCUCUCAUAAAACUUACUACUAGAUUAUAUGAUGGUAAGUCCUACAAUAGAGAUGACAUAAGAACAAACAAGAUCAAAUUUAUAAACAAUAUAUUAAAAAUAGAGAUAGCAAAAUAAUGAAUGAGAGGAAAUCUACAAAGCACUUCCCAUAGAAAACAGUUUCAAAACUAUGUGAUAUUAUUACAUAGCAUUACUGUUUUGAUAAGUUAACUGAAAUCCCAGCAACUCAGGAGGCCAAGGUGGGAGGAUUGCUUAAGGCCAGCAGUUCAAGGCCAGCCUGGACAAUAUAGCAAGACCUUGUCUCUACAAGAAAAAAAAUUUUUUAAUUAUCUGGGCAUGGUGGCAUGCACCUGAAGACCUAGCUACUCAGGAGGCUGAGGUAGAAGGAUGGCCUGAGCCCAGGAGUUCAAGGUUACGGUGAACGGUGACUACGCCACUGCACCCCAGCCUGAGUUACAGAGCAAGACUCUGUCAUUUGUUGUUGUUUUCUCUCUCUUCUUAGAUAAAAAUUCUGUUUGUGACACAAACAGCCAUUAGAGAGAAAUGAUUAGCUAUUAUACUUCUCAGUGGUGGUUAGCAAUGGGCUAUAAUUAUUCCUUUCUAUUAGGAGCCAUUAGCCAUUAAUUCUAGGUAUUAGAAUUUUGAGAGCAGCUUGAGCAGAUUGAUUCCUGGGUUUACAUUUAAAAUAGAUGUGAGAGAGAGAGAGAGAUGAUAGACAAGUAUGUAUUUUUGAAACAUAAACUAUUAAGUUAUGGUCAUGACUAUUGAAUGGCUUUCAAAUCCAUUGGAAUCCAUUGUUCCAGAACUGUGUUUUAUCUCUGUCUUCACCGAUGCAAGUUUUCAUUAAAAUAGAAUCUCAGACUUGAGGAACUUUAGCCACUGUCAAGAAGAAGAGCAGGAGCCCAGGACAGGAAGACAUAACCUUAACCCUGUCCUUGCUGAGUGAACUUAAGCAAUAGAUUUAACCUGUUUAUGGCUUAGCAUCCUCAUCUGUAAAAUGAGAAAAAUGGUAUCUACUUCAUUAGGAUGUUGUAAAGAUUAAAUGAGUUCAUUAUUGUUAAGCACUUAACUGUCAUCAUCAUCAUCAUCAUCCCACAGAUGUAGACAGCAAUGUCCAGGUAGGUGAUGUGAUUUAUCCAAAUCAUAAAACUAGCAUUAAGCACACAGAAGAACCCAAAUCUCUUGACAACUAGCCCUGAGUUCCUUCCGCUGUGCCAUGCUGCCUGUAUUGUUCUAUACUGUGCCAUACUUUCUGAUGCAUAAAGUCCUUAUCAGGUACAUAACUUAUGAAGGAAAGAACUCAGAAAGGAGAAGGCCUAAUGAUGCCAUUUCUAGAGGUCUCAGGCAAGGCCAUAUAGGCCAAAGUGGCUGCUGAAACCAGUCACUUCAGUAUCACUAUUAAAGUCCUUGUAUCCAUUGUAUCUCCCCAUUUGCUGCUAUUCCUAAAAUUUCCCUUAUAUAAGGAACAAGUUUUCAUUGCAUAAUAAUAAAUGUAUAAAUAUUGUUUUAAUUAUUAAUAACCAUAUACUGGCUUAUAUUUAUAGUAUUCAUAUCAAAACCUUACUCUUAAUAAAUGAACAUAUAAUGUAAAAUAUAUGAACAUAUAAUAAUAUUUGUGUAAUACAUAAGAACAUAAGAUCAUGAGCCAUGAAAGAGGGAUUGUUGAGGUGAGGAAUGAAACGGUACACAGUGGAUGCUUUGCGUAUCAAAAUCAAACUUAAUUUUCCUCACAAUUUUCCAGGAGCCAGUAGGAACAUUUCCUGGGAUGUCACAGCAAGGAAUGGAGUAUAGCUCCACCAGGAGCCAUUAAAUAUGGAAUUACUGAUGGACAGUUCACGUGAAAGGCAAGAACUGUUUGUCUCCUUCCACGAAACACCAAGGCCAUUCCAGACCCAAGUCAAACUCAGUCUACAGCCAUGAAAAAAAUGGUCCCCAUGGGGCCCCUGCAGGAGAGACAACAAAACAUUUUGAUGUUACAUCUCCUCCAGAUCCCUGUGGGCUUUCAGAAAAAAAAAAAAAAAAAAAAAAAAAAAAAAAAA